CCUACGGGAGGCAGCAGUGAGGAAUAUUGGUCAAUGGGAGCGAGCCUGAACCAGCCAAGUAGCGGGAAGGAUGACGGCCCUACGGGUUGUAAACUUCUUUUAUAAAGGAAUAAAGUGAGGCACGUGUGCCUUUCUGUAUGUACCUUAUGAAUAAGGAUCGGCUAACUCCGUGCCAGCAGCCGCGGUAAUACGGAGGAUCCGAGCGUUAUCCGGAUUUAUUGGGUUUAAAGGGAGCGUAGAUGGGUUGUUAAGUCCGUUGUGAAAGUUUGCGGCUCAACCGUAGAAUUGCAUUUGAUACUGGCAGUCUUGAGUUCAGUUGAGGUAGGCGGAAUUCGUGGUGUAGCGGUGAAAUGCUUAGAUAUCACGAAGAACUCCGAUUGCGAAGGCAGCUUACUAAACUGGGACUGACAUUGAUGCACGAAAGUGUGGGUAUCAAACAGGAUUAGAUACCCGGGUAGUC
rnacentral:rRNA from 1 species